AAUAUUGGACAAUGGGCGAAAGCCUGAUCCAGCCAUGCCGCGUGGGUGAAGAAGGCCUUAGGGUUGUAAACCCCUUUCAGCGGGGAAGAUAAUGACGGUACCCGCAGAAGAAGUCCCGGCUAACUCCGUGCCAGCAGCCGCGGUAAUACGGAGGGGACUAGCGUUGUUCGGAAUUACUGGGCGUAAAGCGCACGUAGGCGGAUUUGUAAGUCAGGGGUGAAAUCCCGGGGCUCAACCUCGGAACUGCCUUUGAUACUGCAAAUCUCGAGUCCGGAAGAGGUGAGUGGAAUUCCUAGUGUAGAGGUGAAAUUCGUAGAUAUUAGGAAGAACACCAGUGGCGAAGGCGGCUCACUGGUCCGGUACUGACGCUGAGGUGCGAAAGCGUGGGGAGCAA
rnacentral:rRNA from 1 species